AUUGAACGCUGGCGGCAGGCCUAACACAUGCAAGUCGAGCGAGCGGCGGACGGGUGAGUAAUGUAUGGGGACUGCCCGAUAGAGGGGGAUAACUACUGGAAACGGUGGCUAAUACCGCAUACUAUCGGAUAACCCAUAUGGGAUUAGCUAGUAGGUGGGGUAAAGGUUCACAAAGGCGACGAUCUCUAGCUGGUCUGAGAGGAUGACCACCCACACUGGGACUGCGACACGGCCCAGACUCCUACGGAGGCAGCAGUGGGUAAUAUUGCACAAUGGGCGCAAGCCUGAUUCAGCCAUGCCGCUUGUAUGAAGAAGCCCUUAGGGUUUUAAAGUACUUUCAUCGGGGAUGCGGUACCCGCAGAAGAAGCACCGGCUAACUCCGUGCCAGCCGCCGCGGUAAUUC
rnacentral:rRNA from 1 species